rnacentral:lncRNA from 10 species
UGUCAUCUGCAGCCCUCGGCUAUGUGAGCACCACCAGCGACAGACAGAUGAUUUAACGCAGAUGUGGGCAGCAGUGCUUCCCCCCUUGGAGACAUAAGAAGGAGAAACACUGAAUAAAUGUAACAAGUUAAAGCACAGAGAAAUGGGCUUAAUACCUUCACCCAUCUGCCAGUCAGGUCUGCGAAGAACAGGCAUUUAAGGAGAGAAAUGCAAGAGUUCUCUGCCGCUGAAUUCCCCCACCUGGCACAUGAUAUGAGCCUGCACCUCAAUAGCCUCCUGCCUGCACCCUGACAGCCUCCUGCCUGCAUUCCUGCUCACUUCUCCAGUUCCAGUGGAGGCAAAGACUCUGACCCAUCCUGGUACUUCCCUGUGUGGCCCCUCUGUGGCAUGGCCCCUGCUCUUGGUACCUGCUUCACUGGCUCCACCAGCAAAGAGCAGAGAAGAGGAGAAGCAGCUGGACAUUGGAGACUAUGGUUGGACAUCAGAGGGAGGCAGCUUGACUUCAGAGGGGCAGCUUGAUGGUGUUGCUUUGGAGAGGAGUCCAGCUGGAGAUGGCUAGACUUGGGGAAAAUCACCUUCCAGCUCCAUCCCCUUGCCAGUUCUCCUUCCUGCUGAGACCCACUUUCACUGGCAAUAAAAUCCUCCAUGUUCACCACCCUUCCAUUUGUUUGUGUGACCUGAUUUUUCCUAGAUUCUGAACAAGAGCUCAGAUACCACGAGUGCACAUGCAAAAGGCUGUCACACUGACCCUCUGCCCUCACUGGUGGAAAGCAGCCGCCUCAUGCGAAAAGG